rnacentral:misc_RNA from 1 species
AACUUUCGACAACGGAUCACUUGGUUCUGGCAUCUAUGAAGAACGCAGCGAAAUGCGAUAAGUAAUGUGAAUUGCAGAAUUCAGUGAAUCAUCGAAUCUUUGAACGCACAUUGCGCCCCGUGGUAUUCCGCGGGGCAUGCCUGUUCGAGCGUCAUUUCAACCCAUCAAGCUUCUGCUUGGUCUUGGGGCUUGCGGUUUCGCAGCCUCUAAACUCAGUGGCGGUGCUAUUGAGCUCUGAGCGUAGUAACUUUUCUCGCUAUAGGGUCUCGGUGGUUACUUGCCAGCAACCCCCAAUUUUAUCAGGUUGACCUCGGAUCAGGUAGGGAUACCCGCUGAACUUAAGCAUAUCAAUAAGCGGAGGCU